GAUGAACGCUGGCGGCGUGCCUAAUACAUGCAAGUCGAGCGAACAGACGAGGAGCUUGCUCCUCUGACGUUAGCGGCGGACGGGUGAGUAACACGUGGAUAACCUCCCUAUAAGACUGGGAUAACUUCGGGAAACCGGAGCUAAUACCGGAUAAUAUAUUGAACCGCAGGGUUGAAUAGUGAAAGUCGGUUUUGCUGGCACUUCUAGAUGGAUCUCGGCCGCAUUGGCUAGUUGGUAAGGUAACGGCUUACCACGGCGACGAUGCGUAGCCGACCUGAGAGGGGGAUCGGCCACACUGGAGCUUGGACACGGUCCAUGCUCCUACGGGAGGCAGCAGUAGGGAAUCUUCCGCAAAGGGCGAAAGCCUGACGGAGCAGCGCGGCGUGAGUGAUGAAGGUCUUCGGAUCGUAAAACUCGGUUAUUAGGGAAGAACAAAUUUGUAAGUAACUAUGCACGUCUUGACGGUACCUAAUCAGAAAGCCACGGCUAACUACGUG
rnacentral:rRNA from 1 species